rnacentral:rRNA from 1 species
CACGUAGGGUGCGAGCGUUGUCCGGAAUUAUUGGGCGUAAAGAGCUCGUAGGCGGUGUGUCACGUCGGCCGUGAAAACCUGCAGCUUAACUGUGGGCGUGCGGUCGAUACGGGCAUCACUGGAGUUCGGCAGGGGAGACUGGAAUUCCUGGUGUAGCGGUGAAAUGCGCAGAUAUCAGGAGGAACACCGGUGGCGAAGGCGGGUCUCUGGGCCGAUACUGACGCUGAGACGCGAAAGCGUGGGGAGCAAACAGG